AGAGUUUGAUCCUGGCUCAGAUUGAACGCUGGCGGCAGGCCUAACACAUGCAAGUCGAGCGGUAGAGAGAAGCUUGCUUCUCUUGAGAGCGGCGGACGGGUGAGUAAUGCCUAGGAAUCUGCCUGGUAGUGGGGGAUAACGUUCGGAAACGGACGCUAAUACCGCAUACGUCCUACGGGAGAAAGCAGGGGACCUUCGGGCCUUGCGCUAUCAGAUGAGCCUAGGUCGGAUUAGCUAGUUGGUGAGGUAAUGGCUCACCAAGGCGACGAUCCGUAACUGGUCUGAGAGGAUGAUCAGUCACACUGGAACUGAGACACGGUCCAGACUCCUACGGGAGGCAGCAGUGGGGAAUAUUGGACAAUGGGCGAAAGCCUGAUCCAGCCAUGCCGCGUGUGUGAAGAAGGUCUUCGGAUUGUAAAGCACUUUAAGUUGGGAGGAAGGGUUGUAGAUUAAUACUCUGCAAUUUUGACGUUACCGACAGAAUAAGCACCGGCUAACUCUGUGCCAGCAGCCGCGGUAAUACAGAGGGUGCAAGCGUUAAUCGGAAUUACUGGGCGUAAAGCGCGCGUAGGUGGUUUGUUAAGUUGGAUGUGAAAUCCCCGGGCUCAACCUGGGAACUGCAUUCAAAACUGACUGACUAGAGUAUGGUAGAGGGUGGUGGAAUUUCCUGUGUGGCGGUGAAAUGCGUAGAUAUAGGAAGGAACACCAGUGGCGAAGGCGACCACCUGGACUAAUACUGACACUGAGGUGCGAAAGCGUGGGGAGCAAACAGGAUUAGAUACCCUGGUAGUCC
rnacentral:rRNA from 1 species